UCAGCCUUAAGGCGGCUGGAUUUCGGCGCGGCAGGCGGGCUGGUGCUCCGCCCCAGCGCGGGAGAACCGGGCGGCUAGGCAGGAGAGGUACCUUUGGACAAGUUCUGAGAAAUAGAACUAUUUCAUGUGACUGAGCACUCAACUACUUCUGCCAAUGGAGCUUGUGACCCAGUUGUGGGAGUGGAGUUGAGUUCCCUUUUAUUUCUUCAAGUGACUUUUUAAAAGGUUCUUCUUUCUAACUAACCUACCCUCUUGAAUUGGUGGUAUCUAAGGAUAUUCAUAUUGUGAUGGUCUAGCUGGUCUGGAAAAAGCCUAGAACCCCUGAGGGCCUGAAUGCACCACUUCUGAGACCACUCCCCAUCUGAGUCCCUGUCACAAUGAUGAUGGAGAGACCACCCCACUGAUCUCCUGAUGAGGACAGCUGAAGCUCACAGAGAUAGAAGGCAACUAGCCCAAGACUCAACAUUAGCAAAAGGAUUGGAUUCCAGGUUUGUGGCCUCUAGAGUCCAUCGCUCUUUGCACCACACUGCAUCAUCUCCAGGAGGAGGACUGGCAGGGGUGACAUCUGUUAUCUGACUGCCCCAUUGCCUCAGGCGUAUAUGGGUGGAACUCCAAAACUUUUGCAGACAUCACUCAUUUCAGAAAGAGAACUGAGAACAUCAACGCUGGGAUCUGCCAAGGGUAACAAAGUAGGGAGUCUGGUCUGUGAUGGAAGAUUUCCUGUAGUUCAGGUCAUUUCCAGGAUACUCAUUUAUGACUGGUGUGUAUUUUCUCUUCGUAUGAGAUGAGGAAGUCUUAUUGUAUUUCCCCUUAAGAUUUAAAAACAAUAAAAUAGGAUCUAGAAUGGCAGUGUGGCACAAUGCUUAAGAGUAAGACCAUGGAGUCAGCUGUUAUCGGUUUGUCGUCUGGUUCCACCUGUGCAAACUUUGAGCCAAGUUUCUAGUGUCUUCCAAGUUUCAGUUCUGCCACCUUUAAAAUAGAAAUGAGAACAAUAUUGCCUUGUCACAGAAAAUAGCCGUGAUGAUAAAAAGAGAGGAGGCCAGGAACACUGCAAGACACCUAGUGUGUACUCAUCACAUGCUAGUUGUUACUGUUAGCUCUUUGGUAAAUAUGUACCCAACAAUUAGCAAGUGACUUGGAAAGCUGGUUGACAAAUCAUGCAAUAGCAUCCUUCAUCCCAAACAAAUUAUUUUCAAGAUGGAGACAAUUAUGGAUGGAGAGAUCAGUGGUUAAUGUCUUUGCUGCCAUUAGUUCAUGUGGUUUCCCUAAGAGUUUCUGUGUUCCUUUCUAGAUCUUGCUUGGAGUUAAUUCAAGGUCUGGAUCUUUCACAAAUGAUUUGGCUGUUAGGUGCUCAGAAAUGUCAUUUCUACUUCAAGAACUUUAUAGGGAUUCCUGUCGGAACAGAAGUAGCUCUGUCAAGCUUCGUGGCCACAGAACGGGUUUUAGCUUCACUUUUAUGUUCUCUUAGGACCAUAUAAAAAGAAUGUUUAUUUCUCUAUUAUUUGCAUCUUGCAAAGUCAGAAAGCUGACCUUAUGAUUUUAUUAUGUUUUAUUUGCAUAGUUCACAAAAGCUACUGUUUAAAUCCUAUGACUCAUUUAAAAAAAAAAGUUUAAAACCUUUAACUAUGAAUUAGUAAAAAAAAAAAUAGAAAUGUAGGGGUUUUGGAAAAUAUGGCUGUCCAGUGGUUCUCAAACACAGUGAACAAAUAACAUAUUCACUGCUCCAUGGAUAAAUGAGAAAAACAAGUAUAAUAUAAAAAUUUUAUCUUAAAGUUAAAUAGAAGAAUAAAAGUCAUUUAUUCUGACAUUGUGUUCUUCCUAAAUUUUAGUGUUAUCAAAAUAUAAUGUUUUCUAUGAAGUGCUGCUUAUGUACUGGGUUUUAAAAAAAUAUUUUAAUUUGGGAAAAGUGAAAAAAAGGCAAACUCAUAUUCCCUUAAUUCUUUCUUAAAAAUUGGUUUUGAAGUCGGGAAAUAUAAGAACCAAGGAUAAUUAUAAUAGCGAUCACUUAUGCAAGGCUUCUUACUAGGCCUGGUUCUAAGAGCUUUACAGACAUUGAUUUAUUUAAUUC